rfam:Picea glauca, whole genome shotgun sequence.
GCAACGGUGUCUAUUGACACCACCACUUCUCUCUAAUAUUUGUUCU